rnacentral:rRNA from 1 species
AUGUAGCGUAAUCAAUAGCCAAUUAAUUGUUGGCCGGUAUGAAUGGCAUCACGAAGGCCCCACUGUCUUGAGAGGACUUCCCAUGAAAUUGAAUUCGUAGUGAAGAUGCUACGUCCAUAUUGUAAGACGAAAAGACCCCAUUGAGCUUUACUAAAGACUUGUAUGGCUCAAAAUAACUUAAAUAAAAAGUUUAGAUAAUGUGGGAUCCGUUUUUGGUUAAUGAAACACCACUCUUUUAUUUUAAGAGAGCUAACCUUGUAGGGAGAAUGCAAGUUGGAUAGUUUGGUUGGGGCGACCACCUUUUAAAAGGUAACGAAGGUGAGCUUAAGGUCCGUAGUUAAUAGCUGGUGGCCUGACUGCAAGGGGGACACCCCGAGCAGACACGUCCUUAGGGAUGUGGGUUAUAGUGACCCGUCAUUUUAGAGUGGAAUAAUUGACGAUCAACGAAUAA